AUUGAACGCUGGCGGUAGGCCUAACACAUGCAAGUCGAACGGCAGCACAUUAAGAGCUUGCUCGUACGAGGGGCGAGUGGCGGAUGGGUAAGGAAUCCGUCGGGAUGUACAUUUUCGUGGAGGAUAACGUAGUGAAACAUACGCUAAUAGCGCAAACGAGCUAGGGGGGAAAGCAUCGCACCUUCGGACCUUGCGCUAUUGAAUGAGCCGAUGUCGGAGGAGGUAGCUGGCGGGGUAAAGGCCCACCAAGUCGACGAUCCGUAGCUGGUGUGAGAGGAUGAUCAGCCACACUGGAACUGAGACACGGCCCAGACUCCUACGGGAGGCAGCAGUGGGGAAUUUUGGACAAUGGGCGCAAGCCUGAUCCAGCCAUGCCGCGUGCGUGAAGAAGGCCUUCGGGUUGUAAACCGCUUUUGUCAGGAAAGAAAAGCUGCUGGCUAAUACCUGGGAGUCAUGACGGUACCUGAAGAAUAAGCACCGGCUAACUACGUG
rnacentral:rRNA from 1 species